UGCGUAGGUGGGCAGGUAAGUCAGUGGUGAAAUCUCUGGGCUUAACCCGGAAACUGCCGUUGAUACUAUCUGUCUUGAAUGUAGUGGAGGUGAGCGGAAUAUGUCAUGUAGCGGUGAAAUGCUUAGAUAUGACAUAGAACAUCGAUUGCGAAGGCAGCUCGCUACACUAUGAUUGACACUGAGGCACGAAAGCGUGGGGAUCAAACAGGAUUAGAUACCCUGGUAGUCCACGCCCUAAACGAUGGAUACUCGACAUCAGCGAUAAACUGUUGGUGUCUGAGCGAAAGCAUUAAGUAUCCCACCUGGGAAGUACGACCGCAAGGUUGAAA
rnacentral:rRNA from 1 species